GGGUCGAUGCCCGAGCGG
rnacentral:siRNA from 1 species